GCAAUGGGCGCAAGCCUGAUGCACCCAUGCCGCGUGUGUGAAAAAAGCCUUCUGGUUGUGAAGUACUUUCAGCGGGGAGGAAAGCGGGGAGGUUAAUAACCUCGCCGAUUGACAUUACCCGCAAAAAAAGCACCGGCUAUCUCCGUGCCACCAGCCGCGGUAAUACAGAGGGUGCAAGCGUUAAUCGCAAUUACUGGGCGUAAAGCGCACGCACGCGGUCUGUGAAAUCACAUAUGAAAUCCCCGGGCUUAACCUGGGAACUGCAUUUGAAACUGGCACGCUUGAGUCUCGUAGAGGGGGGUAGAAUUCCACGUGUAGCGGUGAAAUGCGUAGAGAUCUGGAGGAAUACCGGUGGCGAAGGCGGCCCCCCUGACGAAGACUGACACUCACGUGCGAAAGCGUGGGGAGAAAACAGGAUUAGAUACCCUGGUAGUCCACGCCGCAAACGAUGUCGACAUGGAGGUUGUUCCCCUGAGGAGUGGCUUCCGGAGCUAACACGUUAAGUCGACCGCCUCGGGAGUACGGCCGCAAGGUUAAAACUCAAAUGAAUUGACGGGGGCCCGCACAAGCGGUGGAGCAUGUGGUUUAAUUCGAUGCAACGCGAAGAACCUUACCUACUCUUGACAUCCAGAGAACUUAGCAGAGAUGCUUUGGUGCCUUCGGGAACUCUGAGACAGGUGCUGCAUGGCUGUCGUCAGCUCGUGUUGUGAAAUGUUGGGUUAAGUCCCGCAACGAGCGCAACCCUUAUCCUUUGUUGCCAGCGAUUCGGUCGGGAACUCAAAGGAGACUGCCGGUGAUAAACCGGAGGAAGGUGGGGAUGACGUCAAGUCAUCAUGGCCCUUACGAGUAGGGCUACACACGUGCUACAAUGGCGCAUACAAAGAGAAGCGACCUCGCGAGAGCAAGCGGACCUCACAAAGUGCGUCGUAGUCCGGAUCGGAGUCUGCAACUCGACUCCGUGAAGUCGGAAUCGCUAGUAA
rnacentral:rRNA from 1 species